rnacentral:lncRNA from 1 species
UUAGGGAGCUACCAUUUGAUUUUUAUGGGGGGGCUAGGAUGAAAAAUUUUGUCCUGCAUUUUUUUUUAGCUGUAAUCUCUGUCCUGCCUUUUAUUUUUCACUCUGUUCGGUCCUGCCUUUUUUUUUUAGUUUAUCCUGACUUUUUUUUACCUAAAUUGUCGUCCUGACCUUUUUUUUUGCAAGUGUCUCAUCCUGCCUUUUUUUUUUACCCAAAACUCCUGUCCUGCCUAUUUUUUUCAAAUUUCAUCCUAGCCCCCCCAUAAAAAUCAAAUGGUAGCUCCCUUAGUUGGUGUCUGGCUGACGUUCACCAAAUAUUAUCAGAUUAUUACAUGGCAUUUUUCAUAUCGCAUGUAUUAUCAGCCCUAGGUUCAAUAUCAGCCCAAGAGCCGCAUGGCUCGAGGGCUGAUAUUGACCGAGGGCUGAUAAUACAUGCGAUAUGAAAAAUGGCAUGUUAUGAUCUUUUUAUCAUAUGCUUCAACAGUAGAGAAAAUUAACAGAUUAUAUAUUGAUCCUUUUACGUGGUUCCCGAAGAUUAAAGAGUAAAAAUGUUCACGGAUGUCGGACCCAAAAUUGAUACAUUCAAUAUGAAAUCUUUCUAUCAUAUGCCUCAACAGAGAGAGAGAAAAAACAUUUUGAUAUGGACGAAUCGACAAAAAAAUAAUACAACAAUAUACAUAAUGAUCAUUGUUUGGAAAAGUCAACUUUCUAAAGAAACUUUCUAAAUUAUGUUUCAGAAAAACUUUAAAAAUGCAUUUAUUAAAUAAUUUGUUUGUUUUUUUAAUUUUAAUUUUUUUUAUUAUUUUAAACAAUAUACUUUCCAGUAUUCAAA